UUUGAGCUCGCCGAUUUCUCU
ensembl:piRNA 21ur-13971 ncRNA